AGCAUGUGGUUUAAUUCGACGAUACGCGAAGAACCUUACCUGGCCUUGACAUGCUAAAAAGCUUUAAGAGAUUAGAGUGUGCUAGCUUGCUAGAAUUUAGAUACAGGUGCUGCACGGCUGUCGUCAGCUCGUGUCGUGAGAUGUUGGGUUAAGUCCCGCAACGAGCGCAACCUCGUGUUUAGUUGCUAACAGUUCGGCUGAGAACUCUAAACAGACUGCCUACGCAAGUAGGAGGAAGGUGAGGACGACGUCAAGUCAUCAUGGCCCUUACGGCCAGGGCUACACACGUGCUACAAUGGGGUAUACAAAGAGCAGCGAUACGGUGACGUGGAGCAAAUCUAGAAAAUGCCUCUCAGUUCGGAUUGUAGUCUGCAACUCGACUACAUGAAGUUGGAAUCGCUAGUAAUCGUAGAUCAGCAAUGCUACGGUGAAUACGUUCCCGGGUCUU
rnacentral:rRNA from 1 species